UCAGAAUGAAUUUAUUUGAGAAUACAGAAAAAAUCGGUUGAAUCGUUAAAAUUUGAGGAAAGACUGUAUUUUUAAUAAAUAUAUUUUGUGCUGACCAUUUUAGCAUGUCCAAUUUAAUUUUUCGAGGAUAUUUGUUCCCGACUUUUAUUUUCUUAAUCAAGAUAUCAUUUGAACAAAUUGGAAUUAAUUAAAUAAUUAGUUUGAAUUUAUUUUUAUGAAUUAGAAUUAAUUACAUAAUUAGUCUGAAUUUGUAUUUGGUGAAUUGAUUUUUAUUUUCUAAAAUAAUUGCUAAAUACCUUAUAAUUUUCAAAUUUAAAAAAAAUAAUAAAUAAUGAGGAUUGCAUUGGAUCCCCUCCUAAACGGUAACACACGUGUAGCUCCUCACAUCUCUCUGUCUCUCGUGGACAACUGGCACCCACUCCGUAACCGUCUCUCUCUCCACUCCACAAAUAUUUGUGUGCUGGCAACGACUAAAGGGAAGAAAAGAGGAAAUAAAUAAACAAACUUUCUCCUCUCUACCUCGCCCACGUGACACAUCUCACGCCACUCCUUCCCACUCAAUAUUUCACACUCACACUUUCUUCAUUAAAAGGCCUCUCUCUACUGUUCAUAGUCUGGCUAAAAAAAAAGAGAAAAUUAAAAAAGGAAAAGAGAAGCAGAAGGCCUUCUUCUUUUCCAUCGCCCUCACCACUCAACUCUCAGCUCACAAAACCCUCUUUCUCUCGCUACACUAAAAACCCUCAAAAGAACCCUUCGCAUUUUCCACGCCGGAAACAUCCGCACAACCCCACAACACCGUAAACCUUCAAAAUCCCAACCUUCAAUCUUCAUCGCCUCCGCUCAAACUCCCACCGGCGAAACCCCUUUGCAACCCAGCUCAGCCGUCAAAUCCGUGUCCACCACCGUAAACCAGCAUCUUCGCCAUCUUAACCGCUCGCAACCCAUCCAAAACCCUUUCCGCCGUCAAAAAACGCGAAGCCCUUCAUCUUCUUCAAACUCAACCGUCAAAACCCCACCACCAGCAAAUAAACCUAUCGCGCGUCACCACCAACAUCUCAAAGACCGACCACACCACUACCGCCGCUCACCUUCCUCAACAACCUUCACUCCGCCGCUGAAACCCACAAAACAACCUUCAUUGUUCCUCGCCGGUUUUAUCCUCUUUUGUUAACCUCGCAUCCGAGAUACCGCCAUUGUGUCGGUAACUUCGACUCAACAGAAGCUGAAGUUUCUGAUUUACUUACUGAUAUUUGGCUUCGAGUUUACUGCAGAAUUCUUCCAAACAACAAAUCAAAGUCCGCAUUUCUAUAAUUUCCAAGCCGAGCCGUGUCAAGGUCGGUUCUCACCAUUUCCGACGAUAGCAAAGGUUGACGC
rnacentral:lncRNA from 1 species